GUGGGGAAUCUUAGACAAUGGGGGAAACCCUGAUCUAGCCAUGCCGCGUGAGCGAUGAAGGCCUUAGGGUUGUAAAGCUCUUUCAGCUGGGAAGAUAAUGACGGUACCAGCAGAAGAAGCCCCGGCUAACUCCGUGCCAGCAGCCGCGGUAAUACGGAGGGGGCUAGCGUUGUUCGGAAUUACUGGGCGUAAAGCGCGCGUAGGCGGACUGGAAAGUCAGGGGUGAAAUCCCGGGGCUCAACCCCGGAACUGCCUUUGAAACUCCCAGUCUUGAGUUCGAGAGAGGUGAGUGGAAUUCCGAGUGUAGAGGUGAAAUUCGUAGAUAUUCGGAGGAACACCAGUGGCGAAGGCGGCUCACUGGCUCGAUACUGACGCUGAGGUGCGAAAGCGUGGGGAGCAAACAGGAUUAGAAACCCUGGUAGUCC
rnacentral:rRNA from 1 species